CAGUCAGCACUGUCUGGCUUCUUGCCUUAGAAGGGACAGGCGGUGACCUCUCUGCUCUGGCCUAGCAGUCCCAGUCAGCAAAUCUUCAGGACACUGGGGACUCCAUGGAGGCUCUAGUACCCUACAGGACCCUGGUGUUGCAGGGUACACUGUAGCUGUCUUCAGAUGCCCCAGAAGAGGACAUCAGAUCUCAUUAUGGAUGGCUGUGAGCCACCAUGUGGUUGCUGGGAUUUGAACUCAGGACCUUUGGAAGAGCAGUCAGUGCUCUAACUGCUGAGCCACCUCUCCAGCCCAGGUAGGACUCUUUGGAAUGCAAAGUGCAGCCCAGCACCAGCACAAGGACCUAAGAAGCCAUUUGAAGACAGGAGCCUGUAGCAAGAUGAAUUUUAAAGACAGGUUCUUGCCAUGAAGCUUUGGCUGGCCUGGAACUCAGUGUGUAGAUUAAGCUGGCCUUGAACUCAGGAAGCGCUGAGACUAGAGGUGUGCACCAUGAUGCCCGACUUCUUAUGGCCUUGAAAGCACAUACACUGUUUCUUCAGCUCCGCUACCGUCGAGGACUUAGAUCUGGGUCUGGAGCGUGACCUGGAAGAAGAGCCACGAUCAGUUCUCAGCUCCCACGGUGCAUGGUUUACCACUGCCUACCUCCAGCUCCGGGGGAUCUGGUGCCUUAUUCUGGGAUCAGGAACACACAUAAAAGUGGUGCACCUGCCCCCACACAUAAACAUACAACAUACAUACUUUAAAAAAUAAAAAGGAAAGAAACUAUGUCUUUUU